rnacentral:rRNA from 1 species
GACGAACGCUGGCGGCGUGCUUAACACAUGCAAGUCGAACGGAAAGGCCCUGCUUUUGUGGGGUGCUCGAGUGGCGAACGGGUGAGUAACACGUGAGUAACCUGCCCUUGACUUUGGGAUAACUUCAGGAAACUGGGGCUAAUACCGGAUAGGAGCCCCUGCUGCAUGGUGGGGGUUGGAAAGUUUCGGCGGUUGGGGAUGGACUCGCGGCUUAUGAGCUUGUUGGUGGGGUAGUGGCUUACCAAGGCUUUGACGGGUAGCCGGCCUGAGAGGGUGACCGGCCACAAUGGGACUGAGAUACGGCCCAGACUCCUACGGGAGGCAGCAGUGGGGAAUAUUGCACAAUGGGCGGAAGCCUGAUGCAGCAACGCCGCGUGCGGGAUGACGGCCUUCGGGUUGUAAACCGCUUUCGCCUGUGACGAAGCGUGAGUGACGGUAAUGGGUAAAGAAGCACCGGCUAACUACGUG